rnacentral:rRNA from 1 species
AGAUUGAACGCUGGCGGCAGGCCUAACACAUGCAAGUCGAGCGGUAGAGAGGUGCUUGCACCUCUUGAGAGCGGCGGACGGGUGAGUAAUGCCUAGGAAUCUGCCUAGUGGUGGGGGAUAACGUUCGGAAACGGACGCUAAUACCGCAUACGUCCUACGGGAGAAAGCGGGGGACCUUCGGGCCUCGCGCCAUUAGAUGAGCCUAGGUCGGAUUAGCUAGUUGGUGAGGUAAUGGCUCACCAAGGCGACGAUCCGUAACUGGUCUGAGAGGAUGAUCAGUCACACUGGAACUGAGACACGGUCCAGACUCCUACGGGAGGCAGCAGUGGGGAAUAUUGGACAAUGGGCGAAAGCCUGAUCCAGCCAUGCCGCGUGUG